ACAUGAUGUGCAAAGACACUGACAAGUAAGACAGCCUGACUUGUGGAGGAAAUCAACACUUUGGCAAGGCUGAUGCGCAGGGUAGAAGAUGGUGGACGUGCUGGCAGGAAACAGAUUUUGCAGAGCCUUGCCUGUCAUUCUACACAUUCUGGAUUCUCUCCUGGGGAGCUACUGAAAAGAUUUAAGUAGCUGUGAUUACAAAUGUGAGCCACUGUAACCAGCAGAACUUGGGACUUACAUAGAGAGGAUUUGAACCCAGGGCUCUGGGUCUGAAGACUUGGGAAGACUGAGAAGAGAAAGGCUGAAGGUGGAGCCUUGUGGAGGAGGGGGUGAUGAGAGGACAUGGUGAGGAACCUGGAAGCAGAGUGUGACAGUGAAAAAGAAGAAGUGGACUCCAUGCCACCCAGAGGGACAGACGCAGCCGCUGAACCGGUCACAUGUGCCACCAUUCUGACACUGGCACUGGAGGCGGCAGUCAGCCCCAAAAUGACCAGGGGCACAGGCUGGGAACAAAAUGGGAAAGCUGAGGCCUGCAGUGCUUGAAGGCACGCUGAGGUUGGGGCAAGGUGGGGAUUGGAACUUCUGACUUGGUGCUUGGUUACUCGAUGCUGAUUCCUCUACAAGUGCACAUGUUAAACAGACCCAGGGGAACCCAUGGGCAGCGCGGAUUGUGACAUAGGUGCUCUCAGCUGAAGCUGCUGAUAGAAUGAAGCCUCAGCUCAUUGUCCGCCUGCUGUCRUUCA